rnacentral:lncRNA from 1 species
UUUCUCCUCGAAGGCCGAGACUUUUUUUUUUUAAAUGUAGAAAACCAGUACAAAUUUACAAAACACACUAUAUAAUGCUCUCUUAUCUCUAGUUUGCUUUUUUGUGUACAAACUGUUAACCUGAACAGUUUUCCGGUGCAAAAGGUCUCACCAGAAACUUUAGGAAAGAUGAGUGUGACUGCGGGAAGCAGAAGAAACUAAGCUGAGAAAACCCGGAAAAAUACUCGGCGCAGCUGCUGCGGCCUUGGGUCAUCUCACCUCCAUCUACCCCGCGUGCUCGCUUUCGCUUGGGGUGGAAAGCGGGGUUCAGGGGCUCUUUUCAGCGGACUGAGAAAUCGCAGAGGCCGUGGGGACCCCAAGUCAGGAUUCCCCUUUCCCGACAUCAGGGGUAAAGGGAGCGGGGGUCCCUUCGCUUCACUGUGCCCCAGCUCUACCGAGAGGCAGGCCUCUGGGAAACGAGCCGGGGACCUGGGGGCCCGGGCGGCCGCAGCUUAGUGGGCUGAGGUGCCGAUCAGGGUCACGCUUCGGAGCUCUGUCGGGGCCCAGCUCCCUCCUUCACACCCCAAAAUGCCGCCUAGGGCGUGGGCAUCCCGAGUGGCAUCCGGAGCCGCUGAGACCCCGCCGAGAUUGCUCCUUGUGCGUCCUCCCACAGCCGAGAGGCCAGCAUCGUGCCGGGACGACCCGGGGACCCGAGUCCGGGCGCCGCUACACCGCCUCGGGCGCUAGGCCUGGGAGCUUUGAGGCCGGUACCGUGAAACACCUUUAGGAGCAAGGAGGGAUUCCAGGUGUCCUCCCUUUGUACCCCAACUCCCUGCCCGGAUCUCUUCCACUCUCUGCCAUAGCCCCCACACACAAACUUUGUUCUGGACUUGUUCAGCCCCUUCGGGACCCACAGUUGUCGCCUCCAUCGGAGAAAACAAGUGCCCCUGUUUCAGGGGGGAUUCCACUCUGGCUGGCCACCCGCAAACCUGGAAAACUAUUCUAUGACUUCUUCCCUGACCCCCCUGGAAGUAGGGAGCACCACGAUCCGCAGAGGGCGCAUACCGACCAGAAAGAUUUUGGGGGGCAGAGGGUGCAAGUGUUGUGGGAAGAGAUGCGGAGAUAAAUUUUGCGAGCCA